UACAGAGGUCUCAAGCGUUGUUCGGAUUCAUUGGGCGUAAAGGGUGCGUAGGCGGCGCGGUAAGUCGGGUGUGAAAUCUUGGAGCUUAACUCCGAAACUGCAUUCGAUACUGCCGUGCUUGAGGACUGGAGAGGAGACUGGAAUUUACGGUGUAGCGGUGAAAUGCGUAGAUAUCGUAAGGAAGACCAGUGGCGAAGGCGGGUCUCUGGACAGUUCCUGACGCUGAGGCACGAAGGCCAGGGGAGCAAACGGAUG
rnacentral:rRNA from 1 species